AACGAACGCUGGCGGCAGGCUUAACACAUGCAAGUCGAACGCCCCGCAAGGGGAGUGGCAGACGGGUGAGUAACGCGUGGGAAUCUACCUAGUUCUACGGAACAACAGAGGGAAACUUCUGCUAAUACCGUAUACGCCCUAUGGGGGAAAGAUUUAUCGGAAUUAGAUGAGCCCGCGUAAGAUUAGCUAGUUGGUGAGGUAAUGGCUCACCAAGGCGACGAUCUUUAGCUGGUCUGAGAGGAUGAUCAGCCACACUGGGACUGAGACACGGCCCAGACUCCUACGGGAGGCAGCAGUGGGGAAUAUUGGACAAUGGGCGCAAGCCUGAUCCAGCCAUGCCGCGUGAGUGAUGAAGGCCUUAGGGUUGUAAAGCUCUUUCAGUGGGGAAGAUAGUGACGGUACCCACAGAAGAAGCCCCGGCUAACUUCGUGCCAGCCGCCGCGGUAA
rnacentral:rRNA from 1 species